rnacentral:miRNA from 1 species
ACUGGAACAAGCUGCCUGGAGAGG